rnacentral:rRNA from 1 species
UACGUAGGGGGCUAGCGUUGUCCGGAUUUAUUGGGCGUAAAGCGCGUGUAGGCGGCCAGAUAGGUCCGUUGUGAAAACUCGAGGCUUAACCUCGAGACGCCGACGGAAACCAUUUGGCUAGAGUCCGGAAGAGGAGAGUGGAAUUCCUGGUGUAGCGGUGAAAUGCGCAGAUAUCAGGAAGAACACCGGUGGCGAAGGCGGGUCUCUGGGCCACUACUGACGCUGAGGAGCGAAAGCGUGGGGAGCGAACAGG